UCUCCACACUCAGGAUGAUCAACACACUCACUCUGCUGCUGCUGCUGCUGCUGCUGGUUGUUCUCUCUCUGUCCUGUUGUACAGGUCAGAGUAUGGAGUCUAUUCCUUCCAGUUCAGUGGUGAAACGUCCUGGAGAGACUCUCAGUCUGUCCUGCAGAGGAUCUGGAUUCACAUUUAGCUGUUGUGUUAUGAGCUGGAUCAGACAACCUGCAGGAAAAGGACUGGAAGUAAUUGGAAAUGGCUACUCUAAUCCCAGUAGGAACACUUAUUCCAGCAGUGUUCAAGGACGUAUUGAAAUCAGCAGAGAUGACAGCAACAGCAUGGUGUAUCUGAGACUGUCCAACUUACAGCCAGAGGACUCUGCAGUUUAUUACUGUGCAAAGUACACACAGUGGUUCAAGUCAUCAGAGAGGCUGUACAAAAACAUCCAACAAUACAAUAUCAGAAGAACAGACAGGGGGCAGUAG